GCNUUUCGAACGGCCGAACCAGGAGCUUGAUCUUGGGGAUCAGUGGCGAACGGGUGAGUAACACGUGAGCAACCUGCCCCUGACUCUGGGAUAAGCGCUGGAAACGGCGUCUAAUACUGGAUACGAACCACGAAGGCAUCUUCAGUGGUUGGAAAGAUUUUUUGGUUGGGGAUGGGCUCGCGGCCUAUCAGCUUGUUGGUGAGGUAAUGGCUCACCAAGGCGUCGACGGGUAGCCGGCCUGAGAGGGUGACCGGCCACACUGGGACUGAGACACGGCCCAGACUCCUACGGGAGGCACCAGUGGGGAAUAUUGCACAAUGGGCGGAAGCCUGAUGCACCAACGCCGCGUG
rnacentral:rRNA from 1 species